rnacentral:rRNA from 1 species
UACGGAGGAUGCAAGCGUUAUCCGGAUUUAUUGGGUUUAAAGGGUGCGUAGGCGGGAAAAUAAGUCAGUGGUGAAAUCCUACAGCUUAACUGUAGAAUUGCCGUUGAUACUGUUUUUCUUGAGUAUGGUCAAGGAAGGCGGAAUGUGUAAUGUAGCGGUGAAAUGCUUAGAUAUUACACAGAACACCAAUUGCGUAGGCAGCUUACUGAGCCGACACUGACGCUGAGGCACGAAAGCGUGGGGAUCGAACAGGAUUAGAUACCCCU